AUGUAGAUAUUGCAAAGAAUCACCAAUUCAGCAAGAAGUACACGGUCAAGUUAGCUGGAGUUAGAUUUAUUAAAAGAAGGUGCAAAUGUUUACAAGUUGAUUGGUCCAGUAGUAGUGAAACAAGACUUGGCAGAGGCUAAUGCUAAUGUCCGCAAGAGAAUCGAGUAUAUCUCUGCUGAAUUGUACGUUUUCUUUACUUUGCUCAGUUGGGUAGCAGAUGAUUGUAUGCUUGUAGCCUUUUCGGUUCUUUACGUUAUGGAAAUUUCUGAAACUGUAAUCUAUAUAUUUAAAAUAAUCACUGAUUGGCAUUGGGGUAAAUAUUUGUGGGCUAUAUAGUAUUUGGAGCAUCAUUAGUGCCUUUAACUGAUUGUACUAUCCUGUUAAGGAACGGCAUCUCAUUUCUCGUACCAAUUAGUGAUCGCCGGAAGACUGCAGUUUUCUAGUUUCAACUUCAUUUCAAGUUUUUCUAUUGUUUCCUGCGUAUAGCAUGUGAUUAUCUGAAUUUGUACGAUUGAUUUCAUGAAUGGGAGUCCGUUAUUGAAAA